rnacentral:rRNA from 1 species
AUCGCGAUGCAUCUAGAUGGGAACCUGUCGUGCCAGCUGCAUUAAUGAAUCGGCCAACGCGCGGGGAGAGGCGGUUUGCGUAUUGGGCGCUCUUCCGCUUCCUCGCUCACUGACUCGCUGCGCUCGGUCGUUCGGCUGCGGCGAGCGGUAUCAGCUCACUCAAAGGCGGUAAUACGGUUAUCCACAGAAUCAGGGGAUAACGCAGGAAAGAACAUGUGAGCAAAAGGCCAGCAAAAGGCCAGGAACCGUAAAAAGGCCGCGUUGCUGGCGUUUUUCCAUAGGCUCCGCCCCCCUGACGAGCAUCACAAAAAUCGACGCUCAAGUCAGAGGUGGCGAAACCCGACAGGACUAUAAAGAUACCAGGCGUUUCCCCCUGGAAGCUCCCUCGUGCGCUCUCCUGUUCCGACCCUGCCGCUUACCGGAUACCUGUCCGCCUUUCUCCCUUCGGGAAGCGUGGCGCUUUCUCAUAGCUCACGCUGUAGGUAUCUCAGUUCGGUGUAGGUCGUUCGCUCCAAGCUGGGCUGUGUGCACGAACCCCCCGUUCAGCCCGACCGCUGCGCCUUAUCCGGUAACUAUCGUCUUGAGUCCAACCCGGUAAGACACGACUUAUCGCCACUGGCAGCAGCCACUGGUAACAGGAUUAGCAGAGCGAGGUAUGUAGGCGGUGCUACAGAGUUCUUGAAGUGGUGGCCUAACUACGGCUACACUAGAAGAACAGUAUUUGGUAUCUGCGCUCUGCUGAAGCCAGUUACCUUCGGAAAAAGAGUUGGUAGCUCUUGAUCCGGCAAACAAACCACCGCUGGUAGCGGUGGUUUUUUUGUUUGCAAGCAGCAGAUUACGCGCAGAAAAAAAGGAUCUCAAGAAGAUCCUUUGAUCUUUUCUACGGGUCUGACGCUCAGUGGAACGAAAACUCACGUUAAGGGAUUUUGGUCAUGAGAUUAUCAAAAAGGAUCUUCACCUAGAUCCUUUUAAAUUAAAAAUGAAGUUUAAAUCAUCUAAAGUAUAUAUGAGUAAACUUGGUCUGACAGUUACCAAUU